GCACUGAAUUCAAAACUCCAACCCAAAAAAAUUCUUUCAGCUGUCAUGGAUCCCUCAUCUCUCUUUAAAGCACUGCAGGAAAAUAUUAUCCAGGCUCAGCUGAAUGGUCAAAAAUAGUCAAUUGCACCGAAGUGAUACAGGUAGAACAGCUGAAGGAAGCAGAGGAAAGAAAUGAGAUGCAAUUUCAUAGAAUUCUAAUCCAUCCUAUCACAAAGGUAAAGCUCUUCUCAGUAAGAAUUGGAACUUUUUUUUUUCCUGGUGCAUACACAGCUAUCAGCAAUGAAUUGGCUGCUCUCCAGGUAGAGCUUCUGUUUACUGAUCCUGCACAGGUGAAGUGAAUCAAGCUCAGGGGAGGGCUGUGGUUUGGUUUGGAACACUUCAAAUAUGGAGCAGAGGAGUAAAUGAAAUUCCCUCACACCUUGGUGUGGUUGAUGGCAUUAUAUAGGAUGAAAGGAAAGGGAGGUAAGGGGAGGUAAUGUAUGAGCUAGGAUGUGGUCGUUAGGAAGGUCUUUCUUGUCUGCUUACCGCUUCUUUGAGGCCAUAUCUGGACUUCUGUAAGCCUUCUCUAAUCUGAACUGAUGCAAUCAACAAGCUCCGCCAUGUGGAGAUCAUUAGCAGCUCCUAGACUUACUGAGAUGCGACUAUCUUAAAAAUUCAGCAGUUGGCCUCAUGGCAGAGGAAGCCAAAAGAAAUCUGUCGUUGUGCAUCUGACUCAUCUUUGGAGAAAAAUGGAGAGAUUAGAAGAAGGAACAGCAAGAGGAACAAAACCAGUGCUUAAGUUCCUGAAGAAACAGAGCUUAACCGUGCAUUCUCUGGACCUUGGAUAAUUUGCAGAAAGCAUCUGAUGAAUGAGGGGCCUUUGGAACAGGAAUUAGUUUCCAUUUCAACGAUGAAGCUUCAUGUGGCCACAGCAAGCACGCACAGCUCUGCUCUGCUGAAAUGAGCUUUUGUCCCAGUCCUCCCAUGCCACAGCUCACUACCAGGAAAAGAAGAGCAACUCUCUUCAUGGUGAGAGGAAUUGACUGCGAUCCUUCAGCAAAAUGAUCUGAAAAAGUGGAAGUAGUAAGUGCCCGGCUGCUCUCAAUUUAAAGGCUUGGUGCACAAAGAAGCCUCUUUCCAGCUACAUGUGGGAUGGAUGUAAUUUUUUCAUAUUUAUUUAAAUAAUAAAUCACCCUUCAGUAGGCAUGUACCCAUAAUUUAUAGCCUGAGGAAGUGUCGAAUAAGCUGUGAACUCUCAUGAAGGUAACAAGACAAAUCUUGUAAAUGCAGUUAAAUACAGAACGAUAGUUGUAUAACUGAGAAGCACAUUCCUACCCAUAAUGAACAUGUCAUAUUUGAUUUUUAACAGGUCUUUUCCAUUCUCCAGCUGCUUUAUAGCUAUCUUCAAGACAGAACUUGUAAUGCCAUUUUAAAGUAAAAAAGAUAAAAGUGUCAAAGCAAUCUAUGCAGCUACAACUGGAUUGAUCAUUGAUGAUUAUGCACAUGUGAAUCUAAUGAGAUUCAACAAGGCCAAGUGUAAGGUGUUGCACUUGGGUUGGGGCAAUCCCAGAUAUGGCUACAGACUGGGAGAAGAACUCACUGAGAGCAGCCCUGCACAGAAGGACUUGAGGGUCUUGAUGUCCAAAGGUUGGACCUGAGCCAGCAGUCUGCACUUACAGCCCAGAAGGCCAACAGCAUCUUGGGCUGCAUACACAGAAGUGAAGCCAGCAGGGAGACUGAAGGGAUUGUCUCCCUCUGCUCUGCCCUCAGGAGACCCCAAGUGCAGUAGUGUGUCCAGGCCUGUGGCCCCCAGCACAAGAAGGACACAGUGCUGUUGGAGAAGGUCCAGAGGAUGCUCCGCUAUAAAGAAAGGCUGAGAGAGCUGGGCUUGUUCAGCUCAGAGAAGAGAAAGCUCCAGUGAGACUUCGAUGCAGCCUUCUAGUACUUGAAGGAGCUUAUAAGCUGGAGGGAGAUUGACUUUUUACAUGUGCAGAUGAUGAUAGGACAAGAUGAACAGAUAUUUAGAGGAGGUAAUUUUUUACUCAGAGGGUGGUGAGAAGCUCCGUCAAAAAGGCUCAAUGUUCUUUCAGUCUUUCCUGCUCCCAUCCUUGGUCUUUUAUCCUACAUGAGCUAAAGUUUCCACAAAAUGUAAAAUGCAUAGCAAAAAAAUUUGUUACUGAAAUAAAAAUCUUAAAAAGUGAUUUUGCUUUUUUUAAAACUCAUUGCAAAUAUUCUGAAACAGGUUUACCUGACAAAACAACUGAGAAUCAAACAUCAGCUAGUUAAGCAAGUUAUUUUUUAUUUAAAUGAACUGGGAACAUCUUCUCAAAUUAAAAAUAGAAGCUUUAAAAAAUCUACAGUUCUGAACAUUACAUAUACACAUUAUGCUACAUACUGUCAAUUAGGAAUGCUUUGAUUCGUGACCUAAAACUGAGAAAAUAAGGUUAUUGCAGAUUGAAGAUUGGUAAGACUUUUAAUAGUUAUUUGAAUGAUUUUCAGGAUUGCCCCUACUUCAAACCACUGGCAUAUGAAGAGACACUAUUUGAGACCAAUAUGCCCAAUUAUUUCACACACUGUAAUGUUUUACACUAGUAAGUUUAACACUUGCUGCCCUUUUGAUGAAUUCUGCUGUUAACUAAUUCAGCAACACACUCGUAUGCCUAAAUUCAAGGCAAUAACUCUAACAGUAGAAAUGUUAACUCCAGUUGCUAAAUGUCUGAACAUCAAUACUGGAAAUCAUAUCUUGAAAUUAUGAGACAGAAUUAUUAUCACUGGCCCCUGAAAGAGGUGCAGUCGAACAGUGAUGCUAUUAAGGACGUUAAGGAAGUGGGUACAAAUUAGGAAAUGGGAGACAGGAUGUAAAGCAUUCUACAAGUCACCAACAUUAUGACAUCUUUCAUGCUCUUUUUGCAUACUACUGCACUUCAGAAAGCUUAGCUUUUUGCUGCAUGAAGCAUUACGCGUACUCCCAGCCCUCCCACCCAAAUACAUUUUCAAAACAAACGUCUCCCUUUUAGGUCUAUACUGCAAAAAUCACUAAACAUUAAAUAAUAAUUAAAAAAAAAAAAAAAAAG